rnacentral:rRNA from 1 species
AGUGGCAGACGGGUGAGUAACGCGUGGGAAUCUACCCAGUUCUACGGAACAACUGAGGGAAACUUCAGCUAAUACCGUAUACGCCCUACGGGGGAAAGAUUUAUCGGAAUUGGAUGAGCCCGCGUAAGAUUAGCUAGUUGGUGGGGUAAUGGCCUACCAUGGCGACGAUCUUUAGCUGGUCUGAGAGGAUGAUCAGCCACACUGGGACUGAGACACGGCCCAGACUCCUACGGGAGGCAGCAGUGGGGAAUCUUGGACAAUGGGCGCAAGCCUGAUCCAGCCAUGCCGCGUGAGUGAAGAAGGCCUUAGGGUUGCAAAACUCUUUCGCCGGAGAAGAUAAUGACGGUAACCGGAGAAGAAGCCCCGGCUAACUUCGUGCCAGCAGCCGCGGUAAUACGAAGGGGGCUAGCGUUGUUCGGAAUUACUGGGCGUAAAGCGCACGUAGGCGGAUUGGAAAGUUGGGGGUGAAAUCCCCGGGCUCAACCCGGGAACUGCCUUCAAAACUUCCAGUCUUGAGGUCAGGAGAGGCGAGUGGAAUUCCGAGUGUAGAGGUGAAAUUCGUAGAUAUUCGGAGGAACACCAGUGGCGAAGGCGACUCGCUGGACUGAUACUGACGCUGAGGUGCGAAAGUGUGGGGAGCAAACAGGAUUAGAUACCCUGGUAGUCCACGCCUUAAACGAUGAGAGCUAGUUGUCAGUA